rnacentral:rRNA from 1 species
UACGUAGGGGGCAAGCGUUGUCCGGAAUCAUUGGGCGUAAAGCGCGUGUAGGCGGCCCGGUAAGUCCGCUGUGAAAGUCCAGGGCUCAACCCUGGAAUGCCGGUGGAUACUGUCGGGCUCGAGUCCGGAAGAGGAGUGUGGAAUUCCUGGUGUAGCGGUGAAAUGCGCAGAUAUCAGGAGGAACACCAAUGGCGAAGGCAGCACUCUGGGACGUGACUGACGCUGAGACGCGAAAGCGUGGGGAGCAAACAGG